AAGUCUAAAACGACUCUCGGCAACGGAUAUCUCGGCUCUCGCAUCGAUGAAGAACGUAGCGAAAUGCGAUACUUGGUGUGAAUUGCAGAAUCCCGUGAACCAUCGAGUCUUUGAACGCAAGUUGCGCCCCAAGCCUUCGGGCCGAAGGCACGUCUGCCUGGGUGUCACAA
rnacentral:rRNA from 1 species